GAAUAGUUCCUUUCGGGGACGCAGUGACAGGUGCUCCAUGUAGCCUGUCGUCAGCUCGUGUCCGUGAAGAUGUUCGGUUAAGUCCGGCAACGAGCCGCAACCCACAUCCCUAGUUGCCAGCAGUUCCGGCUGGGCACUCUAUGGAAACUGCCCGUGAUAAGCGGGAGGAAGGUGUGGAUGACGUCAAGUCCUCAUGGCCUUACGGGUUGGGCUACACACGUGCUACAAUGGUAGUGACAAUGGGUUAAUCCCCAAAAACUAUCUCAGUUCGGAUUGUCGUCUGCAACUCGACGGCAUGAAGUCGGAAUCGCUAGUAAUCGCGUAACAGCAUGACGCGGUGAAUACGUUCUCGGGCCUUGUACACACCGCCCGUCACACCAUGGGAGUUGGUUCUACCCGACGGCCGUGCGCUAACCCUUUGGAGGCAGCGGACCACGGUAGGAUCAGCGACUGGGGUG
rnacentral:rRNA from 1 species